rnacentral:lncRNA from 1 species
CAACCACAUCGUCAAAUUGAUCGACCGUGAUAUCUUGUAUCACAUGAGCGGAAUUCAGAACUUUCAACAAUGCUUUGCGAUGAGCUUCAGAAGUCAAUAGCAAGACAAAAUGGAUAUUUUGGAGGGGGUCUGGUUCAAUUGGUCGACAAUCUUGAAAUCACUCUUAUUGAUCAAUUUGAGGAAUUCUUGGCUUUCCUCAAAAGUGAUGCUUUUCUUGUGAUCUUUAACUUGUUCUUUCUCAACCAUCGGCCCUUUACCUUUAGACAUUUCAGAUUCUGCAGCUUUAUGUCAUACCUAAAUUUUACCCUGAGUCUUUGCUCGCAUCAACAUAGCAUAAAUUGAUCCAUUUUGACGUACAUUUUUAUCAGUUAAAAAGUAUUUGUCAACGUUCAGAUUAAAAGUCAGGAGCUCUGGCAUUUUAUCUGGUCUUGAUCACAUUCAUUCAGUCAUCUAUUGAUUAAGAAGUCAAAAGAUUUGACUUCUCAAUCUCAAUGCAUCGUUCGUUCCAUUGCAUCGUGUUUUCAGAGGUUCAAAGGGUGACAAUCAAGAGUAUUGUAGUAGUCUAAAUCUUUGUAGGGUUUUAAUUAUGAUUGAGAAUCAGAAGUAAUUGGUAUAAAAAUGAUUCAUUUACAUCUAAUUAUCUGCUCACAAUUAUUCAGUCAACAAUUCAGCUCAUUUACAAGACAUUUGCAUUUUUUAACUUGUCACAACAUGCAUUGUGUUUCGUGUAAUGCCAGAAAUAUCGACCAGGUAAUUUUUUCGGAUCUACAAACUAUCCAGUUAAAUUAUUUCAAAACUGUACAUCGAAUUAGAGGGUGAAAAAAUUCAAAAUUGAACUUGCACACGUCAUUUUCAUUGAUCUAUGGUUCGCAUAGUUCAACCUGGCGUACUUGUUUUAAUUUUUUCGACUACUUUUUCGGUCGCAUUUCAAAUAGUCUGAGCCUUUUUAUCGGUCGGUUUUUAGUUAUAAAUUUGAUCAAAACUUGUAAGUUUUCGAGAAGUUUAUUUUGUGCUGGUAAUUUUGGUGCAGUCAAUUUAUUAUUAUUUUAUUUUUUAAAACAAUUUUCACCCGAUUUUUAUUAACUUUUUAUUCGAUUAAUUUUAUAUUUUAACCAAAAUUGUUAUUGGAAUUAAAUAGAAUUUUCCACAUUUUUAUUUUGAUUUUAUUUUUGUAUUUUCAAUUUUAUUUUAAUUUGUUAACAUUUUAGUUUUUUAAAUUAAGAAAAAAAUUAAAAAAUAUCUUUCUUCCAACAUUUUUUCUGCUAUCCCAAUGAAGCCACGCCUCUCAUUUUUUCACCAUACAACCACUCACCACGCGGCACAUGCUGGCAGGAGAGAAAAAUUUAAUUUGUUUUAAAAUCAAGACAACUUUUUCACUUUUCUUCUCCCCUACUCCGGUGCAAAAACACUAACCACCAUACUUUCUCUCUUCACCUUGCUCCGACGGCUUGCAUCAUCAUCAUUUGCCAACCUCACUUCAACUCUCAUAAACUCAACACUUCCUUUCUUCUACACCACAAAUAAACCAUCACAAAUAUAAUCCACACAUAUCCACCUAUAAAACUCCUAAAAACCAUUACUACACAUCUCAUACUCUUUUCCCUUCAUGACACAACCUAGCAAGUAUAACUUCUUAACUCCAUAUCUCUCUCAAUAUCACACAUAAUAAGAAAUAAAGAGACCACAUAAGAAUCCAUCAUUUUCUACUGCUCUUCAACUGCAACAAUUUCAAUAUCACCACACCAUUUUAUUUCUUCACUAAAAAAACACAACAAAAAACAUAAAUUUCUAUCAUCAUCUUAAACCCAACAACAAAUACUACUCAUACUACACAACCAAACCGCAACCACCAUCGUGCAAAGAUCACCGGAUCGCCAUUACCGUGCCGCACCUGCCCUCCCUGUGAGUUUCGAACCACCGUCGAAACUACCGAGCACAAACGGUACAUGUAUUCGUCAGUCCUUUAUAUAUAUAUAUAUAUAUAUAUAUAUAUAUAUUUGCUUGUUUUCGAACCACCGUCGAAACUACCGAGCACAAACGGUACAUGUAUUCGUCAGUCCUUUAUAUAUAUAUAUAUAUAUAUAUAUAUAUAUAUUUGCUUGCUUUGGUUGUUGUUUUCUAUUUGUGUGCUUUAUUAUUUUUUUCGUUGUUUAUUGUUGUUGUUCAUAAGAUGCUUAAGAGAGGAAAGCUUGUUCAUGAGAAUGCUUUAUUUUGUUUUGUUGUUUGUUCAUGAGAUGCUUGCAUUUUUUUUAAAUAUAUUAUGGUUGUUGUUGUUCAUGAUUUUGCUUGAGAGAGGAAAGAUUUAUUUUAGUUUUGCAAAAAUGUUGUGUGAUUUUGUUCUUUUGGUUGUUUCUUUCUGCAGGUGAGAAAGGAGAAGAGUAUUUUGUUUUGUUUUGAUUUUUUCUUAUACACUGCCACAUGUCCGAGUUUAGGUGGUGCCUUUUGGAAAAAUUUAAAAAAAAUCCUUAUUUCUCCUUAAACAUGUCCUCCUUAUUUAUUUCAUUUUCUGGUUUUUUUUUUGUUUUGCUUUGUUAUUUUUAUUACAAUUAUUAUUAUACUUAUUAUAUAUUAUUAUUAUUAUUAUUAUUAUUAUUAUUAUUAUUAUUUACCAUAAGUACUAUUAUUAUCAUUAUGUAUAUUAUUACUAUCAUUAUUAUUAUUGUUAUUAAUAUUAAUUAGGGGUGAUUAUUUGUAAUUUAUUAUUAUUAUUAUUAUUAUUAUUAUUGUUAUUAUUAUUUUAAAAUAACUAAAUAUUUGAGAGUAUGAAAGUGGCAUAGAGGAAAGCAGGUGUGACGUUGCUUUUCCUAUUUAUUUAUCUUUUAUGUUUUUUUUUUAUUAUUUUGUUUUCUAUUUUAUUUUUAUGGCUAAUUCAUUUUUUUUAUAAUUAGUUGUCCAUUUUGAUAAUGGACCCUAAGCCCAUAUUAUUCGUUGCUUAGACACCUCCCAUGCAAAUGUGCAUCUUGUUGUAUGUUUCUAUUUUUUUUUUCUCUUGAUUAGUUUAAUUAUUUACUUUAGUAAUUCAUUAUCUGUUUAUUUAAUUAAUUAAUUAGAUUUUUUUUUAAUUGUUAAUUGAAUUAUUUGAUUAAUUGUUUGAUUGAUUUUAUUUGCAUUUAGACAAUUAAUUUGGUAAUCUCUAUCCAUAUGCCUCAUAUGUAAAUAAUCAUGCUAACUUUCAAUUUCA